CUUUUAUCAGCGCAGCCGGUGCUGACAUAGGUCAGAAAAAAUAGAAGCUAAAACGUGAAAACCAAGUGUGAAGGUGUUGAGUGAGCGCGAGCGGCAGAGGGCGAGCGCAGUGCGCGAGAGCAAUAUGAAACUAUUUACUAACUACAACAAAACAAAUAAAGCUCAAAUGGAAAAGGCAGAAGCGAGCAAAAUAAAAUUAAAAUUGAAAGAGACAAAAAAACCGUUUUGAAUAGCGACACGGAAGCGCUAAAACUGAAUCACGUGCAUACAGUUAACACAGAAGAAUUCCGCCACACACGAAACCACUCUUUUACACAUACACACAUGCAGACAACAAGAGACACACACAUGUAGACAACAUAUUAUUUGGCCCACUGACUGAGUGGCGGUCAUACGCCACAUAAGUAGCCGAAGAAUAUUUGAUUGAAUUCUCGCAGCCGCCACACUGACUGCUCGGGCAUGGCGGUGACAGCGUUGGAGCCGACGCUGGUCAGUCGAGUGGACGAGCGAAAUGUGUUGUUGACUUUUUACCUUAUUUUUAUUACACAUUUUCGAUUUCGGCUUUUGGCUGGUUAAUAUAGGUGCCAAAAUGAGCGCGCAAGCAACAACAACAAAAAGUGACACAAAAAAAUCUACAACAAAAAUAACAGCAAAAACAACAUUUUGUGUGUCACUACGUCAAACCGCAAAAAGCGCUGCGCCAGUAAGAAUAUGUGGCAAAAAGGAGUGAAAAAAAUAAUAAAUAAAAAAUAAAUAAGCUGAAUAUGCAUGUAAAACGCGCCAGUGAAACGAAAAAAAUAUGAGUACAUACAGACACAUAUGUGUUAAAUAAGGAAGUGUGUGUAUGGCAGUUAUAUGAAAAAAAAAGAUACUGUAAACCUGCUCUCGACACUAAAUUUGGAAGCUGUUUCAAAGAGCUGCUGCUUUGUUCAGCGUGUUGGCUUGAUUUCGUAAGACGAAAUUCACCUGUGUUUAUUGCCAAAUAUUGUCCGUAUAAAUGACGCUAACAAGUUAACGGUAAUAUAAUCUGAAACUAGCUUUUUCAUAAGCCAUUUCAGUUAGACAUUAAAAAAAAUUUAAGUGUAUUGAACUGUUAAAAUAGAAAUUCAAGAUUUGCUCUUUAAAUUAAAAAUUAAAAAUAUACCAAAAACGAUGUGCCACACCCUCUUUGCUAGGCUCAGCUAGCAUGGUAAUCAAAUAGUUUACAUAGCGAGUACAUACAAACGCAAAAGUACACAGCGCCAUUACAUCGAUUAUAAUAACACAGUUUACUAUUUGCUCACUGCAAUGCCGAUUGCAUUCGCAAUGCAGUGGAGAGCGCCACACACUCGCUCUACAGCGCUCUCGUGCACUCGCCGAUAUGUAAUAUAGUAUAUGUACUUACAACUGUGGUGAUAUGUAAUGGAUAUAACGUAAUACGUAAUUGCGUGGGCGAGUUGAUUGCUUGUUUAUUGUUGUUGUUGGUGGCCAAACAAAACCAACUACAAAUCGGAACAUGAGAAUAAAAAAAUUAUUUUUAGCAGCAAAAGAAGGGCGCGCACUCAGCUCUGAAAAUGUGAAUUCGCUUUAAGUCCUCAUCAGAUAUUUAAAAGGACCUUAGUGAUACGAUAGGAGUGAUAGUGGAUGCAUCAACGAUUCUCUGGAGACACAGAGGGUAUGUAUUUAACGGUCGACAUCGUUCAAAAAACAUUUUUCGAGCCAACGAAUGAGGAAAUUGCGGUAUGUAUGGGCGAAAAGCAUGGGAAUUGGUUGAUAGAUUAGUGGCAGGCCGUAAUUUUCUCGGAUGAAUACAAGUUUCAUAUCUUUGGAUCAGAUGGUAUCCGCCAUGUAUGGAGCAAAUUUGACGAACGGUUCAGCGGAGAAUGGCUAAAAAUAAUAGUAUGUCAGCUAGUAAGCAGGAUGGUCUGGGGCUGUUUUUUAUCUCAUAAUGGAUGGUAACAUCGAACAAAACAGUUGGCAUGGUCUGGGAACAGCCAGAAUUAAACCCGAUCGAAACACUGUGGGCAAUUAUGAAAAACAGAACCAAAAGGAACUGGAACUUUUGAAGAGGUGGCAUUAUGACAUAGAGGUGGGAUUAUCCCAAACGCUUAUGUUGUCAGUGCUAACAAGGAUUAUGGUGGUCAUUAAUGCAAGCGGAGUCGGAACAAAAUAUCGAUUGAAUAUUUCCCCAGUAGAUAGUGUCAUAUGUAUGUACUUUCCCGUUUCUUGCGUGGAUUCAUUUUAAAAAAGUAAAGUGAGGAAAAUUCGAACAUGAAAUUAUAUUUUAUUUGCAAUGAGCUAAAACUUGAUUAAGACCUCUAGUCUUUUGUGUCCGAUGUCUUUCUAUCUGAUUAUGAAGGCGUUGGGAACGCUCUGAGUUCGACGCCCUAGUGCGAGCUUGGAUAUUUUUAAUAUUUUGUUCAUCAAGCCGCUGCACAUGCUCCGUACUCGACUCUCAAGCGCGUACUUGGGAGGUUUUGAAAUUUUGUUCAGCAAGCAGCUGCGAGAGCUCUUUACUCGACUCUCUGGCACGCGAUUACGAUACGAAGAGAAUGAUUUGCAAGACGAUUUUCAGUUUUAGAUUAAGAUUCUCCUUCUCGGAGUUUUUUUUGAUACCCUCACCUGGGAACUAUUUCCAGAAAGUUGACA